rnacentral:rRNA from 1 species
UACGUAGGGGGCAAGCGUUGUUCGGAAUUACUGGGCGUAAAGGGCGCGUAGGCGGCACGGCAAGUCAGGAGUGAAAGCCCUGGGCUCAACCCGGGAACUGCUUUUGAAACUGCCGAGCUAGAGUGCGGAAGGGGCAACUGGAAUUCCCAGUGUAGCGGUGAAAUGCGUAGAUAUUGGGAAGAACACCUGAGGCGAAGGCGGGUCUCUGGGCAAUAACUGACGCUGAGGAGCGAAAGCGUGGGGAGCGAACAGG